GCAGAGACAAGCUCAACCAACACGGUGCCCGUACGAAUGUAUCUUUUCAAUCUUGCGUUGUGAUGCGCUGCCACGUUCUUACUGAGCCUUUCAGAGUGAUAGGGUCGGCAAAAACUCGAGGUGGGACCAUCCGCUUCGUCCUUAUUUGACAAGGGUCUCCCAAGUGUUUGGCUUUUCGACUCUGCUGGGGGGCGUCGUUGGGUGCGCAAGGUCUCUGGCUUGGGCGAGAAAGGAGCUCGCUGAGCGGAGCGGGCUCCCAAUAAUCGAACUUCGACGCGAGCAACUCAGAAUUCGCAAGAGCGCCUGCGCCGAGACCGCGGCAAUGGCUGCGAGAUUCGGGGUCGCGGCGGGCGUAUUCACGAGCAUAGAGCUAGCGCUGUCUCAUUGGCGGGGCACGUGGGACGCCUGGAACCCGCUUCUGGCUGGACCCUUGACAGGAAUUAUUUGUGUCGUACCAUUA